rnacentral:rRNA from 1 species
GACGAACGCUGGCGGCGUGCUUAACACAUGCAAGUCGAACGGAAAGGCCCUGCUUUUGUGGGGUGCUCGAGUGGCGAACGGGUGAGUAACACGUGAGUAACCUGCCCUUGACUUUGGGAUAACUUCAGGAAACUGGGGUAAUACCCGAAAGGAAGUUCCUCCGGCUGGGGGGGGGUGGGAAGGUUCGGCGGGUGGGGGUGGACUCGCGGCUUAUCAGCUUGUUGGUGGGGUAGUGGGUUACCAAGGCUUUGACGGGUAGCCGGCCUGAGAGGGUGACCGGCCACAUUGGGACUGAGAUACGGCCCAGACUCCUACGGGAGGCAGCAGUGGGGAAUAUUGCACAAUGGGCGGAAGCCUGAUGCAGCAACGCCGCGUGCGGGAUGACGGCCUUCGGGUUGUAAACCGCUUUCGCCUGUGACGAAGCGUGAGUGACGGUAAUGGGUAAAGAAGCACCGGCUAACUACGUG